rnacentral:rRNA from 1 species
AUUGAACGCUGGCGGCAGGCCUAACACAUGCAAGUCGAACGAGUGGCGGACGGGUGAGUAAUGUCUGGGAAACUGCCCGAUGGAGGGGGAUAACUACUGGAAACGGUAGCUAAUACCGCGUACCAUAGGAUGUGCCCAGAUGGGAUUAGCUAGUGGGUGGGGUAACGGCUCACCUAGUCGACGAUCCCUAGCUGGCCUGAGAGGAUGACCAGCCCAAUGGGACCUGAGACACGGUCCAGACCGCUACGGGAGGAAGCAGUGGGGAAUAUUGCACAAUGGGCGCAAGCCUGAUGCAGCCCGGCCGCGUGUAGGAAGAAGGCCUUCGGGUUGUAAAGUACUUUCAGCGAGGAGGCGUUACUCGCAGAAGAAGCACCGGCUAACUACGUGCCAGCAGCCGCGGUAAUAC